AGAAAGCUGGUUCAACACCAGUGCUUACUGACCAGCAAAAUGAAACAAAUACGCCCGUGCCUAUGUCUCGAGGUAAAAAAAGAGCUCAUAUUGCAUGCCUAUGUGUUGUUCAUAUAACUGAUGAGAUGUCAUGCACCAAACUAACACUAAGGUGCCAUAGAUGUGGACACGAUUGAGCUGCAGGGGCAAAUGGUUGGCGAACAUUAUUCGCACAAUGUGGAUGAUGCAUUCAGUGGACAACUUCAAGCUGAACAAGAAAAUGAAACACAAACCCAGUUGUCCAUG
rnacentral:lncRNA from 1 species